UACGGAGGGUGCAAGCGUUAUCCGGAUUCACUGGGUUUAAAGGGUGCGUAGGUGGGUUGAUAAGUCAGUGGUGAAAUCUCCGAGCUUAACUUGGAAACUGCCAUUGAUACUAUCAGUCUUGAAUAUUGUGGAGGUCAGCGGAAUAUGUCAUGUAGCGGUGAAAUGCUUAGAUAUGACAUAGAACACCAAUUGCGAAGGCAGCUGGCUACGCAUAUAUUGACACUGAGGCACGAAAGCGUGGGGAUCAAACAGG
rnacentral:rRNA from 1 species